GACGUAGGGGGCCAGCGUUGUUCGGAAUUACUGGGUGUAAAGGGUUCGUAGGCGGUGUGGCAAGUCGGGAGUGAAAUCUCUGGGCUCAACCCAGAGACUGCUUCCGAAACUGCUGUGCUUGAGUGUGAGAGAGGCUCGUGGAAUUGCAGGUGUAGCGGUGAAAUGCGUAGAUAUCUGGAGGAACACCGGUGGCGAAAGCGGCUCACUGGACCAUAACUGACGCUGAGGCGCGAAAGCUAGGGGAGCAAACAGG
rnacentral:rRNA from 1 species